rnacentral:lncRNA from 1 species
CCACUGUUGCUCAAUGUAAGGCAGCCAACACACAAAUAUUUUUGUAUCUGCACAAUGCUUAAUCUUUGUUCACUGGUUAAUGUAUGUAUUAUUCCAUGAUAUACAGGUCGAACCAUGACUGGCGUGGAUAGCAAGAAGAUCAAUCUACCAAACGGGCUGUGCAUUCAUGUAGUAGAUACCAAACUAUGCGGGGGCAAUAAUGGGUGCUUCCAUUGUUUGACAAAUGACAUCCUCUACCCCUCUUUGGAUGAUUGCAAGAGGGAGUGUACGUAGCACAUCCUCGUCUUCACAAGAUGUCCCCUCCCCCUCCUUAAUGUUUCAGCCUAGUUAAUCAAAUUGGCUUACAUAUUUAUAAGAUUGUCCCAAGAAAUAAUGCCUCAUGUGCGGAAAUCCAGUUAUGCAAUAUGAAUAAUGCUCUAGCAGUUGUUGCUGAGUACUUUGUUUCGGCAAAUUGCAUCUGAACUUUGGAGAGCGACGAAAUGACCCCCGAGCGUAGCUUGGAUUUGUGUCAGUUUUUUUAAAACUUUUUGCCACAUAUAUGUUUUAGAAUACAGAAGUGAAUACAUCUGCAGGUGGGCCAUACUAUACCGAAGUACUCCUUCCCCGCGUGUCUCCUCUUCUUAAGUAGUUAAUUGAUCUACCUGUCCUGUGGCUAUGGAUGGCCAGGGGAGGCUGCCCCUAGCCAAGAUCCGUCGGCAGCGAGUUCUUCUACCCGGUCAUGGAGGGUUCGCAUCUACCCUGCCUCUCGUGAGGCGUCGUGUUCUUGUCUUCCCCAAGCUCCCAUACCCAAAUCAGAUCCAAGUUUAAAACGAGGGGCUUCUUGCGCCUUCCUUGUAAAAAAACUGGUAGAAAGCGAUGCACAACAUGGAACGAUAGUUUUUUCAUGAUAAUAUGUGUCUCAUUUAUAUCAUAAGGAUCAUAGUACAAGUCACGUACAUUCCGACCGGCAGAACUGAACAGAUAAUAAAACGCUAGGCUUUGCACAAAGGAACACUAGCCAAGAAGUAAAAAUACAAAGAAGACCGAAAAAACUUUUGAGCUUGACACUAACGCCCAUCCUGCCUCUGGCACCACCACAACAACCACCAAAGGAAAAAUGACGGAUCAUCUCCACAUCCGUGCUCGACACGGCUCCAUCGCUGAUAUGCAGCUUUGCAGACCUUUAAGGUGCCCGCCAAAGGUGAAACCAUUACUUUUGAACAAAUCAGACCGGAGCAACUCACCAUACAUGCCAUCAAACUCCAGAUUUGGCACCCCCAUAUGACGUCAGAGGAGGAAACCAUACCUGCCAUCCACAUACCACAAACACAGCACACGAUCCACCAUCUUUCAGAUGUCACAGAUGCAGACCACAAUCUGCAUCCGCUCCUAGACUACCUCCCAAAUUCCAUGCCGGCGCUGGAGCAAACAUUGUCACAACGACGGAUCAUGAGGACACAGGUCCACCACGAGGAUGCCGCCGACGCCACACCAUCGUUGAAGAGACAGGAUUCCAAUUCCAUCCCCAACCAUCGGACCAACCACCUCAUUAGAGUAGGGUCUGAAGAAAUUUUAUUCACCGCCGACAAGACGAUGAAUAGCCUAAAAAACUAAGCUACUUUUAUCUAAACAUAUACGCACGCGUGGAUCCGGCGACCCCCCUCACCACUGACGAUCGAGUUGGUCGAUGGAGGGGAGCCGCCGGAGAAUGGAGGCGGAGGCGAUUCCCUGGUGGCAGAAAGCGAUAUCGCUUUUCCUGUCUUCGGGGGGAAGAUCUACAUGGAACACUAGUCAAGUAGGAACAUUGAGGUGACUUCUAUGUCCAGUGGGCUCUUUAGAUGAAUUCAAAAGGAAAAAUAGACAAAAUAUGAUAAGCCAAUAAAUGACAUGUGCACGCGCUCGGUGGCAGCGCAAGGACCGAGCGCCCUAGGCAAGCCCCGAGCCAAAUACUCCCUUCAUUUUUAUUUAGUCCGGCGAUGUGCUUUCAGUGGAGAAGACGUUCCCGUCGACGAGGAGGCAUCUACGGUGACUUCAUAAAUCUCAAGAUGAUAUGCCGGCUCGGUCUCUCGAAGGUUCUCAUAGGGGUAGGGUGUGCGUGUGCAUUCAUAGGGGUGAGUGUAUGCGUGUAUGUAUGAGCGCUUGCGUAUGUACUUGUUUUAAAACACUUUUUUGCGGGUGGCCGUGACAACACUUGACAAGGCCACAUAAGACUGAGGAUCAGUGCGGCUCCCAAGCUCCAUUGUCCUUUUUUUGGAGAACUGAAAAUGUAUUACCUGAGUGGUACUAGCAAUUGUUGGCAGAGCGAUGAAAUGACUCGCAAGCGCAGAUGCUCCGGAAAUCUGAGUGGUACAGCUUAGCUUGGGAUCUGUGUCGGUUAAAUCUGUGUCACAUAUACGUUUUAGAAUACAGAGGUGAAUACAUCUGCAGAUGGGCUAUACUGGACCAUAGUACUAACUCCUCGCAAAGUCGCAAGUCUCCUCUCUUCAAGUCCAUCGAUGUCCCAUGCAAAAUAAAAUGAAAUAAGUCCAUCGAUCUCUCACUUAAAAAGAGUCCUAUGGCUAUGGAUGACCAGGGAGGCCGCCCUUGGCCAAUAUCCAGCGCCGGUGAGUUCAUCUACCCUGUCAUGGUGGGUUUCUCAUCUAUCCUACCUCUCAUGAGGCGUCCGGUUCCUGUCUUUCCCAAGCUCACAUUAAUAUUCCCAAAUCAGCCCUCGGCCGGCCUUGGCGACAUCAUCUUCAUCCACUCCCGUGUUGCACACACCCAUUUCUCUGAUCUCUUAAAGCAACUCUAGCCGAGCCCAUAAAAGAUACAGGAGUAUUUGGCCGGGUAAACCUUAAUGGAGUAAAUUUAGUCCACUAAGUUUUGGUCGGUUCUAGCUGAUCCCCUAAAUUUAGCGGAGUAAAAUCAAAUUUGGUUAAGAUGAACAUAGAUUCGAUCUAAACAAACUUCUAAACCAAAAUUCGACACAUAAUUUACAUUAUCAUCCGUCGAAACAUAGUUCAAAGUGAUACUAAAACUUGAACUCAAACAUAAGCUGAAAUCUAAAUCUAACCAAAAAAAUUAGUCGCUAUUCGACUUUGCGAGGGAGAGCAAGUCCUCCCUAGAGAUUCCACCGCCCAUGGGGUCAGUCCCUAGGUCGUCUUCGUUGUAUCCAGGAAGGUCCUUCACCACUCCUCGAUGUUGAAGCUGUCAUCGUUGCCGCCUCCACUGCCACCAUUGUUGCCGCCUCCACCGAGCCAGCUCGUCAUCGACCAGCGCCCACGUGCAUCUAGGGAUCAUACAUUCAACAGGGGGUGACUCCAUGAGUCAGGUGAUCCACAAAAACCGCAUGAGCUAGAGUCCACCAUAUGGCUGUGUGCCCAACAUCAUUUGUUGCUAAAGAAUGUAUGGAUAGAUGCCAAAGGAACAGCCUCACGUUUCCCGGCACCAGAACUUUCCAUAAACUUUUCCAUGAGCCCUCUUCAGCAGCCGAGGUGGAGGAACCAUCCCUUUGAUCUAAGCAUGACUAUUGGAGAAUUAAUUACAAUUAUGAAAUAUACAAAUAUAGACAUAGGAGAUAAGUCCAACCAAAUUUGGGAACUUGUCUAAAAAGGGAGAAAAUUAGUCUGACUUGAUUUGUGCUUUUAAUGAGGGUUCAUAAUAUAGGAUGAUAUUAAAUAAAUACAAUUUUAUUGCUUGAUGGUUUACACGGGAUAAGGAUGACCGGUUCUCUCUUCUCUCAAUAUAUACGAUCGACUCAUGUGCUCAUUGGUAACCAAACAUUUCUCAUCGACAACCAAAGUGACAUGAGUGCCUGCGUAGCUAGUGUUGUAUCUGGUUGGCCAUGGACAAGUACACGAUUCGCAUCCUUGCACUAGGAGCCCUAGUGUGUCUACAUCUCGUAUGCUCUGCUACUGUUGCUCAAUGUAAGGCAGCUAGCACACCAAUAUUUAUGUAUCUUCACAAUGCUUAAUUUUUCUUCACUUGUCCUGGCUGGAAGUAUGUACCUAGUAUAGCUAUCAAAGGCCCUUGUAUUUUGCUUUGUAACUGGUUCCAUCGUUUAUAUGCAUAUAUAUACAUACACACUACUCUAAAAUAAUUGCAUAACGAUGGUUGUUCGUUUGUUAUUAUUCCAUAAUAUACAGGCCAAAUCAUGGCUGACACCGACAGCAAGAAGAUCGAUCUACCAGACGGGCUAUGCGUUGAAAUAUCUCCUGACGGUUGUACAUACCACGAUGGUCUUUGCUUCCAUUGUUUGGUAACUGACGUCUACUACCCCACUAUGGAUGACUGCAAGAGCAAUUGCAACAAAUCCUCGUCUUUACAAGACGUGCUAGUUGCCACGACAACCUCCCCUCCUCCUCCUUUAUCUGCUCCUUAAUUUUCCGGCCUAGACAAUGGUUAUAUGUACAAGAUUGUCCCCUGAAAAUAAUGCCUAUGUGCGGAAACCAGUUAUGCAAUGCGAGUAAUAUACUGCAGCAGUUGUUGCUGAGUAUUUUGGUUUGGCAAAUCACAUUUGAACCUUUACUAGCAAUUGUUGGGAGAGCGAUGAAAUGACUCGCAAGCGCAGAUGCUCCGGAAAUCUGAGUGGUACAGCUUAGCUUGGGAUCUGUGUCGGUUAAAUCUGUGUCACAUAUACGUUUUAGAAUACAGAGGUGAAUACAUCUGCAGAUGGGCUAUACUGGACCAUAGUACUAACUCCUCGCAAAGUCGCAAGUCUCCUCUCUUCAAGUCCAUCGAUGUCCCAUGCAAAAUAAAAUGAAAUAAGUCCAUCGAUCUCUCACUUAAAAAGAGUCCUAUGGCUAUGGAUGACCAGGGAGGCCGCCCUUGGCCAAUAUCAGGCGCCAGUGAGUUCGUCUACCCUGUCAUGGUGGGUUUCUCAUCUAUCCUACCUCUCAUGAGGCGUCCGGUUCUUGUCUUUCCCAAGCUCACAUUAAUAUUCCCAAAUCAGCCCUCGGCCGGCCUUGGCGACAUCAUCCUCAUCCACUCCCGUGCUGCACACACCCAUUUCUCUGAUCUCUUAAAGCAACUCUAGCCGAGCCCAUAAAAGAUACAGGAGUAUUUGGCCGGGUAAACCUUAAUGGAGUAAAUUUAGUCCACUAAGUUUUGGUCGGUUCUAGCUGAUCCCCUAAAUUUAGCGGAGUAAAAUCAAAUUUGGUUAAGAUGAACAUAGAUUCGAUCUAAACAAACUUCUAAACCAAAAUUCGACACAUAAUUUACAUUAUCAUCCGUCGAAACAUAGUUCAAAGCGAUACUAAAACUUGAACUCAAACAUAAGCUAAAAUCUAAAUCUAACCAAAAAAAUUAGUCGCUAUUCGACUUUGCGAGGGAGAGCAAGUCCUCCCUAGAGAUUCCACCGCCCAUGGGGUCAGUCCCUAGGUCGUCUUCGUUGUAUCCAGGAAGGUCCUUCACCACUCCUCGAUGUUGAAGCUGUCAUCGUUGCCGCCUCCACUGCCACCAUUGUUGCCGCCUCCACCGAGCCAGCUCGUCAUCGACCAGCGCCCACGUGCAUCUAGGGAUCAUACAUUCAACAGGGGGUGACUCCAUGAGUCAGGUGAUCCACAAAAACCGCAUGAGCUAGAGUCCGCCAUAUGGCUGUGUGCCCAAUAUCAUUUGUUGCUAAAGAAUGUAUGGAUAGAUGCCAAAGGAACAGCCUCACGUUUCCCGGCACCAGAACUUUCCAUAAACUUUUCCAUGAGCCCUCUUCAGCAGCCGAGGUGGAGGAACCAUCCCUUUGAUCUAAGCAUGACUAUUGGAGAACUAAUUACAAUUAUGAAAUAUACAAAUAUAGACAUAGGAGAUAAGUCCAACCAAAUUUGGGAACUUGUCUAAAAAGGGAGAAAAUUAGUCUGACUUGAUUUUGCUUUUAAUGAGGGUUCAUAAUAUAGGGUGAUAUUAAAUAAUCCAAUUUUAUUGCUUGAUGGUUUACACGGGAUAAGGAUGACCGGUUCUCUCUUCUCUCAAUAUAUACGAUCGACUCAUGUGCUCAUUGGUAACCAAACAUUUCUCAUCGACAACCAAAGUGACCUGAGUGCCUGCGUAGCUAGUGUUGUAUCUGGUUGGCCAUGGACAAGUACACGAUUCGCAUCCUUGCACUAGGAGCCCUAGUGUGUCUACAUCUCGUAUGCUCUGCUACUGUUGCUCAAUGUAAGGCAGCUAGCAUACCAAUAUUUAUGUAUCUUCACAAUGCUUAAUUUUUCUUCACUUGUCCUGGCUGGAAGUAUGUACCUAGUAUAGCUAUCAAAGGCCUUUCUAUUUUGCUUUGUAACUGGUUCCAUCGUUUAUAUGCAUAUAUAUACAUACACACUACUCUAAAAUAAUUGCAUAACGAUGGUUGUUCGUUUGUUAUUACUCCAUAAUAUACAGGCCAAAUCAUGGCUGACANNNNNNNNNNNNNNNNNNNNNNNNNNNNNNNNNNNNNNNNNNNNNNNNNNNNNNNNNNNNNNNNNNNNNNNNNNNNNNNNNNNNNNNNNNNNNNNNNNNNNNNNNNNNNNNNNNNNNNNNNNNCCAUAUGGCUGUGUGCCCAAUAUCAUUUGUUGCUAAAGAAUGUAUGGAUAGAUGCCAAAGGAACAGCCUCACGUUUCCCGGCACCAGAACUUUCCAUAAACUUUUCCAUGAGCCCUCUUCAGCAGCCGAGGUGGAGGAACCAUCCCUUUGAUCUAAGCAUGACUAUUGGAGAACUAAUUACAAUUAUGAAAUAUACAAAUAUAGACAUAGGAGAUAAGUCCAACCAAAUUUGGGAACUUGUCUAAAAAGGGAGAAAAUUAGUCUGACUUGAUUUUGCUUUUAAUGAGGGUUCAUAAUAUAGGAUGAUAUUAAAUAAUCCAAUUUUAUUGCUUGAUGGUUUACACGGGAUAAGGAUGACCGGUUCUCUCUUCUCUCAAUAUAUACGAUCGACUCAUGUGCUCAUUGGUAACCAAACAUUUCUCAUCGACAACCAAAGUGACCUGAGUGCCUGCGUAGCUAGUGUUGUAUCUGGUUGGCCAUGGACAAGUACACGAUUCGCAUCCUUGCACUAGGAGCCCUAGUGUGUCUACAUCUCGUAUGCUCUGCUACUGUUGCUCAAUGUAAGGCAGCUAGCACACCAAUAUUUAUGUAUCUUCACAAUGCUUAAUUUUUCUUCACUUGUCCUGGCUGGAAGUAUGUACCUAGUAUAGCUAUCAAAGGCCUUUCUAUUUUGCUUUGUAACUGGUUCCAUCGUUUAUAUGCAUAUAUAUACAUACACACUACUCUAAAAUAAUUGCAUAACGAUGGUUGUUCGUUUGUUAUUACUCCAUAAUAUACAGGCCAAAUCAUGGCUGACAACGACAGCAAGAAGAUCGAUCUACCAGACGGGCUAUGCGUUGAAAUAUCUCCUGACGGUUGUACAUACCACGAUGGUCUUUGCUUCCAUUGUUUGGUAACUGACGUCUACUACCCCACUAUGGAUGACUGCAAGAGCAAUUGCAACAAAUCCUCGUCUUUACAAGACGUGCUAGUUGCCAUGACAACCUCCCCUCCUCCUCCUUUAUCUGCUCCUUAAUUUUCCGGCCUAGACAAUGGUUAUAUGUACAAGAUUGUCCCCUGAAAAUAAUGCCUAUGUGCGGAAACCAGUUAUGCAAUGCGAGUAAUAUACUGCAGCAGUUGUUGCUGAGUAUUUUGGUUUGGCAAAUCACAUUUGAACCUUUACUAGGAAUUGUUGGGAGAGCGAUGAAAUGACUCGCAAGCGCAGAUGCUCCGGAAAUCUGAGUGGUACAGCUUAGCUUGGGAUCUGUGUCGGUUAAAUCUGUGUCACAUAUACGUUUUAGAAUACAGAGGUGAAUACAUCUGCAGAUGGGCUAUACUGGACCAUAGUACUAACUCCUCGCAAAGUCGCAAGUCUCCUCUGUUCAAGUCCAUCGAUGUCCCAUGCAAAAUAAAAUGAAAUAAGUCCAUCGAUCUCUCACUUAAAAAGAGUCCUAUGGCUAUGGAUGACCAGGGAGGCCGCCCUUGGCCAAUAUCCGGCGCCGGUGAGUUCGUCUACCCUGUCAUGGUGGGUUUCUCAUCUAUCCUACCUCUCAUGAGGCGUCCGGUUCUUGUCUUUCCCAAGCUCACAUUAAUAUUCCCAAAUCAGCCCUCGGCCGGCCUUGGCGACAUCAUCUUCAUCCACUCCCGUGCUGCACACACCCAUUUCUCUGAUCUCUUAAAGCAACUCUAGCCGAGCCCAUAAAAGAUACAGGAGUAUUUGGCCGGGUAAACCUUAAUGGAGUAAAUUUAGUCCACUAAGUUUUGGUCGGUUCUAGCUGAUCCCCUAAAUUUAGCGGAGUAAAAUAAAAUUUGGUUAAGAUGAACAUAGAUUCGAUCUAAACAAACUUCUAAACCGAAAUUCGACACGUAAUUUACAUUAUCAUCCGUCGAAACAUAGUUCAAAGUGAUACUAAAACUUGAACUCAAACAUAAGCUAAAAUCUAAAUCUAACCAAAAAAAUUAGUCGCUAUUCGACUUUGCGAGGGAGAGCAAGUCCUCCCUAGAGAUUCCACCGCCCAUGGGGUCAGUCCCUAGGUCGUCUUCGUUGUAUCCAGGAAGGUCCUUCACCACUCCUCGAUGUUGAAGCUGUCAUCGUUGCCGCCUCCACUGCCACCAUUGUUGCCGCCUCCACCGAGCCAGCUCGUCAUCGACCAGCGCCCACGUGCAUCUAGGGAUCAUACAUUCAACAGGGGGUGACUCCAUGAGUCAGGUGAUCCACAAAAACCGCAUGAGCUAGAGUCCGCCAUAUGGCUGUGUGCCCAAUAUCAUUUGUUGCUAAAGAAUGUAUGGAUAGAUGCCAAAGGAACAGCCUCACGUUUCCCGGCACCAGAACUUUCCAUAAACUUUUCCAUGAGCCCUCUUCAGCAGCCGAGGUGGAGGAACCAUCCCUUUGAUCUAAGCAUGACUAUUGGAGAACUAAUUACAAUUAUGAAAUAUACAAAUAUAGACAUAGGAGAUAAGUCCAACCAAAUUUGGGAACUUGUCUAAAAAGGGAGAAAAUUAGUCUGACUUGAUUUUGCUUUUAAUGAGGGUUCAUAAUAUAGGAUGAUAUUAAAUAAUCCAAUUUUAUUGCUUGAUGGUUUACACGGGAUAAGGAUGACCGGUUCUCUCUUCUCUCAAUAUAUACGAUCGACUCAUGUGCUCAUUGGUAACCAAACAUUUCUCAUCGACAACCAAAGUGACCUGAGUGCCUGCGUAGCUAGUGUUGUAUCUGGUUGGCCAUGGACAAGUACACGAUUCGCAUCCUUGCACUAGGAGCCCUAGUGUGUCUACAUCUCGUAUGCUCUGCUACUGUUGCUCAAUGUAAGGCAGCUAGCAUACCAAUAUUUAUGUAUCUUCACAAUGCUUAAUUUUUCUUCACUUGUCCUGGCUGGAAGUAUGUACCUAGUAUAGCUAUCAAAGGCCUUUCUAUUUUGCUUUGUAACUGGUUCCAUCGUUUAUAUGCAUAUAUAUACAUACACACUACUCUAAAAUAAUUGCAUAACGAUGGUUGUUCGUUUGUUAUUACUCCAUAAUAUACAGGCCAAAUCAUGGCUGACACCGACAGCAAGAAGAUCGAUCUACCAGACGGGCUAUGCGUUGAAAUAUCUCCUGACGGUUGUACAUACCACGAUGGUCUUUGCUUCCAUUGUUUGGUAACUGACGUCUACUACCCCACUAUGGAUGACUGCAAGAGCAAUUGCAACAAAUCCUCGUCUUUACAAGACGUGCUAGUUGCCAUGACAACCUCCCCUCCUCCUCCUUUAUCUGCUCCUUAAUUUUCCGGCCUAGACAAUGGUUAUAUGUACAAGAUUGUCCCCUGAAAAUAAUGCCUAUGUGCGGAAACCAGUUAUGCAAUGCGAGUAAUAUACUGCAGCAGUUGUUGCUGAGUAUUUUGGUUUGGCAAAUCACAUUUGAACCUUUACUAGGAAUUGUUGGGAGAGCGAUGAAAUGACUCGCAAGCGCAGAUGCUCCGGAAAUCCGAGUGGUACAGCUUAGCUUGGGAUCUGUGUCGGUUAAAUCUGUGUCACAUAUACGUUUUAGAAUACAGAGGUGAAUACAUCUGCAGAUGGGCUAUACUGGACCAUAGUACUAACUCCUCGCAAAGUCGCAAGUCUCCUCUCUUCAAGUCCAUCGAUGUCCCAUGCAAAAUAAAAUGAAAUAAGUCCAUCGAUCUCUCACUUAAAAAGAGUCCUAUGGCUAUGGAUGACCAGGGAGGCCGCCCUUGGCCAAUAUCCGGCGCCGGUGAGUUCGUCUACCCUGUCAUGGUGGGUUUCUCAUCUAUCCUACCUCUCAUGAGGCGUCCGGUUCUUGUCUUUCCCAAGCUCACAUUAAUAUUCCCAAAUCAGCCCUCGGCCGGCCUUGGCGACAUCAUCUUCAUCCACUCCCGUGCUGCACACACCCAUUUCUCUGAUCUCUUAAAGCAACUCUAGCCGAGCCCAUAAAAGAUACAGGAGUAUUUGGCCGGGUAAACCUUAAUGGAGUAAAUUUAGUCCACUAAGUUUUGGUCGGUUCUAGCUGAUCCCCUAAAUUUAGCGGAGUAAAAUAAAAUUUGGUUAAGAUGAACAUAGAUUCGAUCUAAAUAAACUUCUAAACCGAAAUUCGACACGUAAUUUACAUUAUCAUCCGUCGAAACAUAGUUCAAAGUGAUACUAAAACUUGAACUCAAACAUAAGCUAAAAUCUAAAUCUAACCAAAAAAAUUAGUCGCUAUUCGACUUUGCGAGGGAGAGCAAGUCCUCCCUAGAGAUUCCACCGCCCAUGGGGUCAGUCCCUAGGUCGUCUUCGUUGUAUCCAGGAAGGUCCUUCACCACUCCUCGAUGUUGAAGCUGUCAUCGUUGCCGCCUCCACUGCCACCAUUGUUGCCGCCUCCACCGAGCCAGCUCGUCAUCGACCAGCGCCCACGUGCAUCUAGGGAUCAUACAUUCAACAGGGGGUGACUCCAUGAGUCAGGUGAUCCACAAAAACCGCAUGACCUAGAGUCCGCCAUAUGGCUGUGUGCCCCAACAUCAUUUGUUGGUAAAGAAUGUAUGGAUAGAUGCCAAAGGAACAGCCUCACGUUUCCCGGCACCAGAACUUUCCAUAAACUUUUCCAUGAGCCCUCUUCAGCAGCCGAGGUGGAGGAACCAUCCCUUUGAUCUAAGCAUGACUAUUGGAGAAUUAAUUACAAUUCUGAAAUAUACAAAUAUAGACAUAGGAGAUAAGUCCAACCAAAUUUGGGAACUUGUCUAAAAAGGGAGAAAAUUAGUCUGACUUGAUUUGUGCUUUUAAUGAGGGUUCAUAAUAUAGGAUGAUAUUAAAUAAAUCCAAUUUUAUUGCUUGAUGGUUUACACGGGAUAAGGAUGACCGGUUCUCUCUUCUCUCAAUAUAUACGAUCGACUCAUGUGCUCAUUGGUAACCAAACAUUUCUCAUCGACAACCAAAGUGACCUGAGAGCUUGCGUAGCUACUGUUGUAUCUGGUUGGCCAUGGACAAGUACACGAUUCGCAUCCUUGCACUAGGAGCCCUAGUGUGUCUACAUCUCGUAUGCUCUGCUACUGUUGCUCAAUGUAAGGCAGCUAGCACACCCAUAUUUAUGUAUCUUCACAAUGCUUAAUUUUUCUUCACUUGUCCUGGCUGGAAGUAUGUACCUAGUAUAGCUAUCAAAGGCCUUUCUAUUUUGCUUCGUAACUGGUUCCAUCGUUUAUAUGCAUAUAUAUACAUACACACUACUCUAAAAUAAUUGCAUAACGAUGGUUGUUCGUUUGUUAUUAUUCCAUAAUAUACAGGCCAAAUCAUGGCUGACACCGACAGCAAGAAGAUCGAUCUACCAGACGGGCUAUGCGUUGAAAUAUCUCCUGACGGUUGUACAUACCACGAUGGUCUUUGCUUCCAUUGUUUGGUAACUGACGUCUACUACCCCACUAUGGAUGACUGCAAGAGCAAUUGCAACAAAUCCUCGUCUUUACAAGACGUGCUAGUUGCCAUGACAACCUCCCCUCCUCCUCCUUUAUCUGCUCCUUAAUUUUCCGGCCUAGACAAUGGUUAUAUGUACAAGAUUGUCCCCUGAAAAUAAUGCCUAUGUGCGGAAACCAGUUAUGCAAUGCGAGUAAUAUACUGCAGCAGUUGUUGCUGAGUAUUUUGGUUUGGCAAAUCACAUUUGAACCUUUACUAGGAAUUGUUGGGAGAGCGAUGAAAUGACUCGCAAGCGCAGAUGCUCCGGAAAUCCGAGUGGUACAGCUUAGCUUGGGAUCUGUGUCGGUUAAAUCUGUGUCACAUAUACGUUUUAGAAUACAGAGGUGAAUACAUCUGCAGAUGGGCUAUACUGGACCAUAGUACUAACUCCUCGCAAAGUCGCAAGUCUCCUCUCUUCAAGUCCAUCGAUGUCCCAUGCAAAAUAAAAUGAAAUAAGUCCAUCGAUCUCUCACUUAAAAAGAGUCCUAUGGCUGUGGAUGACCAGGGAGGCCGCCCUUGGCCAAUAUCCGGCACCGGUGAGUUCGUAUACCCUGUCAUGGUGGGUUUCUCAUCUAUCCUACCUCUCAUGAGGCGUCCGGUUCUUGUCUUUCCCAAGCUCACAUUAAUAUUCCCAAAUCAGCCAUCGGCCGGCCUUGGCGACAUCAUCUUCAUCCACUCCCGUGCUGCACACACCCAUUUCUCUGAUCUCUUAAAGCAACUCUAGCCGAGCCCAUAAAAGAUACAGGAGUAUUUGGCCGGGUAAACCUUAAUGGAGUAAAUUUAGUCCACUAAGUUUUGGUCGGUUCUAGCUGAUCCCCUAAAUUUAGCGGAGUAAAAUAAAAUUUGGUUAAGAUGAACAUAGAUUCGAUCUAAACAAACUUCUAAACUGAAAUUCGACACGUAAUUUACAUUAUCAUCCGUCGAAACAUAGUUCAAAGCGAUACUAAAACUUGAACUCAAACAUAAGCUAAAAUCUAAAUCUAACCAAAAAAAUUAGUCGCUAUUCGACUUUGCGAGGGAGAGCAAGUCCUCCCUAGAGAUUCCACCGCCCAUGGGGUCAGUCCCUAGGUCGUCUUUGUUGUAUCCAGGAAGGUCCUUCACCACUUAUCGAUGUUGAAGCUGUCAUCGUUGCCGCCUCCACUGCCACCAUUGUUGCCGCCUCCACCGAGCCAGCUCGUCAUCGACCAGCGCCCACGUGCAUCUAGGGAUCAUACAUUCAACAGGGGGUGACUCCAUGAGUCAGGUGAUCCACAAAAACCGCAUGAGCUAGAGUCCACCAUAUGGCUGUGUGCCCAAUAUCAUUUGUUGCUAAAGAAUGUAUGGAUAGAUGCCAAAGGAACAGCCUCACGUUUCCCGGCACUAGAACUUUCCAUAAACUUUUCCAUGAGCCCUCUUCAGCAGCCGAGGUGGAGGAACCAUCCCUUUGAUCUAAGCAUGACUAUUGGAGAAUUAAUUACAAUUAUGAAAUAUACAAAUAUAGACAUAGGAGAUAAGUCCAACCAAAUUUGGGAACUUGUCUAAAAAGGGAGAAAAUUAGUCUGACUUGAUUUGUGCUUUUAAUGAGGGUUCAUAUUAUAGGAUGAUAUUAAAUAAAUCCAAUUUUAUUGCUUGAUGGUUUACACGGGAUAAGGAUGACCAGUUCUCUCUUCUCUCAAUAUAUACGAUCGAUUCAUGUGCUCAUUGGUAACCAAACAUUUCUCAUCGACAACCAAAGUGACCUGAGAGCUUGCGUAGCUAGUGUUGUAUCUGGUUGGCCAUGGACAAGUACACGAUUCGCAUCCUUGCACUAGGAGCCCUAGUGUGUCUACAUCUCGUAUGCUCUGCUACUGUUGCUCAAUGUAAGGCAGCUAGCACACCGAUAUUUAUGUAUCUUCACAAUGCUUAAUUUUUCUUCACUUGUCCUGGCUGGAAGUAUGUACCUAGUAUAGCUAUCAAAGGCCUUUCUAUUUUGCUUUGUAACUGGUUCCAUCGUUUAUAUGCAUAUAUAUACAUACACACUACUCUAAAAUAAUUGCAUAACGAUGGUUGUUCGUUUGUUAUUAUUCCAUAAUAUAUAGGCCAAAUCAUGGCUGACACCGAUAGCAAGAAGAUCGAUCUACCAGACGGGCUAUGCGUUAAAAUAUCUCCUGAUGGUUGUACAUACCACGAUGGUCUUUGCUUCCAUUGUUUGGUAACUGACGUCUACUACCACACUAUGGAUGACUGCAAGAGCAAUUGUAACAAAUCCUCGUCUUUACAAGACGUGCUAGUUGCCAUGACAACCUCCCCUCCUCCUCCUUUAUCUGCUCCUUAAUUUUCCGGCCUAGACAAUGGUUAUAUGUACAAGAUUGUCCCCUGAAAAUAAUGCGUAUGUGCGGAAACCAGUUAUGCAAUGCGAGUAAUAUACUGCAGCAGUUGUUGCUGAGUAUUUUGGUUUGGCAGAUCACAUUUGAACCUUUACUAGCAAUUG